rnacentral:piRNA from 1 species
UCCAAGCUGGGUUUAGAAGGUGUCUGAAUGU